rnacentral:rRNA from 1 species
AUUGAACGCUGGCGGCAUGCCUUACACAUGCAAGUCGAACGGCAGCACGGGUGCUUGCACCUGGUGGCGAGUGGCGAACGGGUGAGUAAUACAUCGGAACGUACCUUAUCGUGGGGGAUAACGCAGCGAAAGCUGUGCUAAUACCGCAUACGCCCUGAGGGGGAAAGCGGGGGAUCGAAAAACCUCGCGCGAUUAGAGCGGCCGAUGCCUGAUUAGCUUGUUGGUGGGGUAAAAGCCCACCAAGGCGACGAUCAGUAGCUGGUCUGAGAGGACGAUCAGCCACACUGGGACUGAGGCACGGCCCAGACUCCUACGGGAGGCAGCAGUGGGGAAUUUUGGACAAUGGGGGCAACCCUGAUCCAGCAAUGCCGCGUGAGUGAAGAAGGCCUUCGGGUUGUAAAGCUCUUUCGCAAGGGAAGAAAACUUAUGAUCGAAUAAAUCAUGAGGUUGACGGUACCUUGAUAAGAAGCACCGGCUAACUACGUGCCAGCCGCCGCGGUAA